rnacentral:lncRNA from 13 species
AUGAGACAGACCUACCUCCUGUCCUUUUGCUGUGCAGGACUGACUCUGUGUUUCUGCUGUGCAGGACAUACUUCCUGUUGCUCUCCUCAGACAGACGAACCUCCUGUUUUUCUUCUGUGUAUGACACACUUCCUGUGUGUCUCCCGUGCAGGACACACUUUCUGUUGCUCUCCUGAGAGAGACCUACUUUCUGUUUUUCCUCUGUGUAGGACACACUUCCUGUGUUUCUCCAGUGUAGGACACACUUCCUGUUGCUCUCCUGAGACAGGCGUACUGACCCUUCUUUUUCUGUGCAGGACACACUUCCUGUGUUGCUCCAGUGCAGGACACACUUCCUGUUGCUCUUCAAAGACAGACGUACCUCCUGUUUUUUUUUACUGCAGAAAACACUUCCUAUGUUUCUCUUCUGCAGGACACACUUCCUGUUGCUCUCCUGAGACAGACAUACCUCCUGUUUUUCUUCUGUAUACGACACACUUUCUGUGUGUCUUUCGUGCAGGACACACGUCCUGUUGCUCUCCAGAUACAGACCUACUUCCUGUUUUUCCUCUGUGUAGGACACACUUCCUGUGUUUCUCCAGUGUAGGACACACUUCCUGUGUUUCUCCAGUGCAGGACACACUUUCUGUUUCUCUCCAGAGACAGACGUACCUCCUGUUCUUCCUCACUGCAGGAAACACUUCCUGUGUUUCUCCUGUGCAGGACACACUUCCUGUUGCCCUCCUGAGACAGACGUACCUCCUGUUUUUCUUCUGUAUACGACACACUUCCUGUGUGUUUGUCAUGCAGGACACACGUCCUGUUGCUCUCCCAAUACAGACGUACUUCCUGUUUUUCCUCUGUGUCGGACACACUUCCUGUGUUGCUCCAGUGCAGGACACACUUCCUGUUGCUCUUCUGAGACAGGCGUACUUAUCUUUUUCUUUGCAGGACACACUUCCUGUGUUUCUCCUGUGGAGGACACACUUCCUUUCUCUCUCCCGAGAGACAGGUAGUUCCUAUUCUUCCUCUAUGCAGUACACACUUCCUGUGUUUUUCCUGUGCAGGAUACACUUUCUUUUUUGCUCCCGAGACAGACCUACUUCCUUUUCUUCCUCUGUGCAGGACACACUUUCUGUGUUUCUCCUGGGCAGGACACACUUCCUGUUGCUCUCCUUAGACAGACAUACUUCCUGUUCUUCCUCCAUGCAGGACACACUUCCUGUGUUUCGCCUGUGCACAACAAAUUUUCUGUUGCUCUCCAGAGACAGACAUACUUCCUGUUCUUUCUCUGUGCAAGACACACUUUCUGUGUGUCUCCUGUGCAUUACACAUAUCCUUUGGCUCUCCUAA